rnacentral:lncRNA from 1 species
GCCUGGUGGAACAGUGGCUAGAAGUAGAGGCACACAACUACAACCCAGCAAUUUACGAGCUGACCAUGCAACUUUUAUUUUCUCCCAAGUUUGGACGUCCCGUUGAUGAAAAAUUGGUGAAGGAGAGUGACGAAAAGCUUGGAAAAACGCUCGACGUUUACGAGGGGAGGCUGUCGAAGAGCAAGUAUUUGGCUGGUGAUUUCUUCAGCCUGGCUGAUCUGAGUCACAUUCCAUUUACCCACUACUUGGUUGGGCCGAUGGGGAGACAGCAUAUGAUUAGAGACAGGAAGCAUGUGAGUGCUUGGUGGGAUGAUAUUAGCAACAGGCCGUCCUGGAAGAAAGUCCUUGAGCUUUGUAAGACUCCUUUCGGCUGAGCUUGAUUGUAUGUGUUUCGAUUUUCGGGCUUGUGUUUUACUUCUUUACUACUUGGUUUGUUUCUGUCUGUGGGAUAUGUUUCUUGCAUAUGUGUUUCAAAUAAAUAAAUGUUUGGAGUUGGAGCUUUUUUUUUAGGCUUGAUUCUUUUUUUAUUUUAUACUGCUUUUUUUUUUUUUUGAAAAAAAAAAGGGGUUAGAAAGUGUCUUUUACUUUAUUGCAAGUUGUUUAUUUAUUCAAAUAGAAGAGGUCUUGUAUUUUUUUUUUUUUUUUUUGGGUAGUAAUGAUAUCGACAUGUCCUCUAAAAAUGCUGCUUUGCCGGGGUAAAAGAGUGUAAUCAAUCUGAGCAUUUUACACGCACAAGUUACCCACAAUUUCUUAACUACGGGUGGAGUUUGCAUAAGACUAGAGGGUGUCUCGGCACUUGCAAAAAUUUAGAAAAGUUUUGGGAAUUUUAUGAAAAAUUAGAUGUGAAAAUACUAACUUGACCCGGCACUCACUUGAUACAUGAACUUAAUAUGUUAUAGGAUAACAGUGUACUUUUACAUUCUUCACUAACAUUAAUUUGGAAGCUAAAAUAAAAGUAAUUAGAGGGAAAAAAAAGGGACAAAAUGUGAAAGCAACCCCCCAAUCACGUGAAUAGCAAAUCCCCAAAUCGCAAGCUGCAAACAAAUCCCUGAAUUCCCAUCAAUUGAAAACCAUUCAAAUAAUCAAUGUUUCAAAGAAAAGCUGCCGAGAAUUAGAAGUCAAUAGCAAUUCUCCAAAUUCUAAAAAUCCAACAAUCUCACAUGCCAAAGCAAUACUAAAUAUUCAUUAAGUUACUGAAACUAAAGGAAAAAAGUAUCCUUCUAGACAGUUCUCUCUCAAAGAGAGCCUAGAAUUGAUGAAGUAAAGGAUCCUUGGUGAUCCAAAUUUGUCACUCACUCACGGGUUGAGUGGCGGAGUGUCACUCGCAGGGUGGGUGGAAAACAUUAAAAAAAACAGGAAGGGGGAAAUUGGUAAGAGUAUUAAACAUGGUAAGGGGAAUCAAUAUAGUUAAAAGGGUUGGUGAGAAGUUGGUGAGUUUUUUAGUUCAACUGAUCUGCUUUAAAAGGAGAGAUGGACGCUGAUGAAUUCAUACGUAAAUGUGAAGCCAUAAGCUUAAAAUCAGAAGAAGACAAUAUGAUCAACUUUGGGGGAAGAAUGAAGGCUAAAGGACAGAAAAUUGCAGCACUUUGUCUCGUUGGAAAAAUAUUUCAUACAGGUGGAGUCUCCCGUGAAGGGCUUAGAGCAACGAUGCAACGAGUAUGGAGAUCAAUAAAGGAAUUGAAAGUGGAGAGUCUAGGUGAAAACGUCUUCAUCUUUAAAUUUGCCUCAGAAAGCAAAAAAAAGAGGAUAUUGCAUGGAGGAGCAUGGCACUUCAACAACCUGCUAAUGGUGCUCAUAGAACCAUCCAAUGUGGGUAACAUUAAGCAGCAGGCUUUCAACCAUACAUCAUUUUGGGUGCAAAUUCACAAUGCACCUAUUAUGUGUAUGGAUAAAGACAUAAUGAGGGAGAUAAGAAAAAAGAUUGGUAAGGUUGAGGAGGUGGAAAUGGAUGAAACAGGGGAAUGUUUUGGCUCUUUUUUCUCGCCUAAGAAUCUCGAUAGAUGUAACACAGUCACUGAAAAAAGGUUGUUGUUAAAACUAGAAGAUAGUGAGAGGAUUUUUAUUGAAUCGCUUAUGAAAAAUUGCCUGACUUUUGCUUCUAUUGUGGGCUAAUUUAGCAUCAAUGUAAGGAGUGUCUUGAGUAAAAAGGGUAGCCAAAAGAUAGUUAACAUAUGGAGCAUGGAUGAAAGCACUGACAAGAGAGGAAAGAGCCAAGCAGAGAACGAUUAAGAACUUUGGAAUAGGAAGCAAAGAGCGUCAUAGUCAGCAUUGGAAAACCAAUAACAAGAAGAACGAAUUCAAUAAAAAACGGGCCAGGGUAAGCAAUGUGUGAGAGAUGGAUCUGGGGCAACCCAAUCUCACAAUGGGAUCAGCACAAAGCCAACAAAGAUCAUCCACGUGGAAGGAUUAACUGCAGGCUCAUUAAUGAAGCAUGGAGGGGAUAAUAAACAACAUACUAUAAACUAUAGCAAUGCUACAGAGAUAGCUGAUGGGGAGCUAAUGUCUAUAAAAAUGAGCAAUUUAGCGGGAAACAGUGAAAAGAAUAAGUGGGAAAAUGCAUUGGAGAUGGAAAAAAAGAAUAUGGGCUCAAUGGGCCUAAAUAUGCUGAGAGAUGGGGCUGGGCAUAAACCCACAAUCCAUGGGUUUAACUAAAUCUAAACUAAAUUAAAUAAUUUGGGUUGGGUAAAGUAUGAAAAUGGGUUAAAUAUGGAUUUUAUAUAAAAAAUCAUUUCAUUAUGGGUUGGGUAUGGUUUAUCCAUGGGUCAUGAACAAAACCUCAAUACUCAAACUUGUCAAAUGAAAUAAAUGAAAACAAAAACAAAUAAAUGAAAGGUCAUUAUUAAAUUGUUCGCGACGUGAUCAAUUGUUAACAGUUAGAAAAGGAAAACAACAUGUAAAAACAAAUCUAAAUUAAAUAAAUGCUACUGUAAAUAAUUAAAUGAGAUGAAAUUAGGGUUUGAUGAAAUGAAAUCAUUUUUUUUUCAAUUUAUGAACUCAUAUUAUACUUACGUAAUUACCGCUUUUAUGUUUCUAACAGUAAUAAGAAAAACACCAAAUCUAUAUUGUUGUUUUUGUAUUUAAAUCAAGGAAAAUUAUAGUAAUAAUGUUGAGAUGGUUUUUGAGGGCAUAGUUACCUAGCCAUUGGAAGGAAAUAAUUAAUAAUUAUGAGAAAUGAUAUUUCGCCAUUGAUAAAAUAUUAUUGUGUUAGAAAUUAUUAUAAAUAAAAUUAACAUUUUGUGUGCUAUAUUGAUACUGUAGCAUAAAUAAUACUCCAUUUUUUAUUUUGAUGGGAUUUAUUGACAAUGAUCCUCCAUCCUGAAAUUUAUGAGCAAUCAACUUAUUGAAAAAAAAAACACCAUUUGAUAGAAAAUUAUCAUCUCAAUAAUUAUAAGUCAAAGGAUACAUUUUUUUAGUUAAAGAAAUUUUAUUAUUUUAACUAAAUGGCACUUACAUAAGUUUAUUUAUUUAUUUUCUUUCUUUGAAUUUACCUGUUGAUGUCAUGUUUGUGGAAGUUUAUUAUUAGAGUUUAUGUUCUUAUUUAUUGAGAAUUAAUGAUUUUUGUGAUUAAACUUUAUUUUAAUUUUCUAGUAUUCUUUAAUUUAAGGAUUAAGUUAUUGUAAAAUUUAUUAUUUAUAAUUUUUAUCCACUAUAUUUUUUUUCAUAUUUUAGUAUGAAUUUAAUAAUUAAUAAAAAUUGAAUUAAAAAAAUAAUUAAUAAUUUUUAUAAUUUUUAUAUAAUUAAAUUUAUCAAAAUAAAAAAUAUUUUAAUAAUAAAUUUCAAACCAAACCCAAAUGGAUUGGUUUGGGUUGGGUUGGGUUGAAAACAUUUGAGUUGGUUUGAGUUGAACCCAAACUUUUAUGGUUUAGUUUGGGUUGUCUUAAAACCCAAUCCAAACCAACGUCAUGCCCACCCCUAUUGAGAGACAAUAUGGACCAAAUACAAAAGCAUACUGAAACAGAAGUAGCUGGGAUAUGCACAUUUGUGAAAGAUAAGAGGAAGAAAUCAAGAAAUGGAAAUUGGAAGUAAGGGAAAGAGUAAUUACACGGGCCGGAAAUGUUGGGCUAAUUUCACUCAAGCGGCCCGUGGAAGAAUAAAUAAAACCAAGCCCAGAAUGCAAAAAAAUUAAAAUGAGGAGCCUGGGUGAUUCACAAGCCAAGCAAACUCAACUUUCCCCAGUAAAAUUUAAUCUUUUGUGGGUAGAAGAAACAAGAAGUUUGAAAUAUGGACAAAGGAGGUUUACAGAGAAUGUAGCGGCAGAGGCUGGAAACCAACCCCACUGACAGCCAUGAAAAUCAUAAGCUGGAACGUUUGAGAUUUGGGGAAUCCCCGAACGUGCCUAGCAUUGAAGAAAAUCCUCCAAUUGCAGAAGUCUCAGCUGGUGUUUCUUUAUGAAACCAAAUUGACAAAUGUGCAUGUCAAAUAAGCGUGUAGAACGAUGAUUCUAGAUAGUUAUUUUGCUACUGAUAAAGUUGGAAAGACUGGUGGCUUUGCCUUAUUAUAGAGUAAGGAUAUUGAUGUUCAACUUAAAUCCUACAACAGACACCACAUAGGCAUGCAUGUUCAGCACGUGAAUGGGAAAUUUUGGAGAUGCACAGGAGUAUAGGUACCCUAAAUCAAAUAAAAAAAAGCACAGCUUGACUCUUUUGAGAAGAAUGUCAGGUUUGUCCUCUCUCCCAUGGCUGUGUUUUGGUGACUUUAAUGAGAUCCUGUAUUCAAAUAAGAAAACUGGGGGUUUGGAUAGAAAUGCCAAUGUGAUUGCCGAAUUUAGUGAUGCUGUGAAAGAAUGUAAGCUAAUUGAUUUGGAGAGUAGAGGUCAUCCGUUUACUUGGUCUAACAGACAACUUGGACCAUAUUGCAUAGAGAAAAAAUUAGAUAGAUUUUUCUACAACCAAGAAUGAAGAGCUGAGUUUCAUGUUGAUCUAAUUUCAACUUGAUCCAUUGGGAGUUUGAUCACUAUCCGAAUAUGAUUAGAGAACGGCAACGAAGUCUUGUGUAUGAGAGAAGAAAUUUCAAUAGAAUUCACUAUGAGAAUAUGUGGAGCUCCUAUAAGGCAUUCCAAAAUAUACUGAAAAUCGAGUGGCUUAAGUGGCAUAUAAGUACAGAAGUCAACCCCGUGCUAAUGUUCAAAACAAUUGCCAAAAGCUCAAUGACUUAAUUGCCGUGCUCAUGUUUUGCAUAAUAGAACUCCACAAUUUGAUUGAAAAAGUCCCAAAACAACAGUAAGCUGAGAAUCUGGUUUGGAAGCUGCUGGUGCUGCGGCUGCAAGUCCUACUGUUACUUGUUUGCUGGCUCCUAAUUUCUUGGGACUACCUGAUCCAUAAUGUUGUGAUUUGAAAGAAAAUAAAACGGAGAAGUGGUGAAGUUAAAAAAAAAAAAGAGAGGCGAGCAUAUAUAAAGCAGCAAAACCGAUUAACCAGGAGCAAGAACAACCAGCGCAAAGUUCAAGCAACCUGAAUGCAGAAACCGGAGCCAGAUUGAAUUGUAAAGACAAUGGACUAAUGGAGGUAUGCAAUAUGGAGCAGGUGGUUGAUGACCCAUUAAUGCUAGGGUAUAGGAUGGCAAAAUUUCAAAAUAUAAACUGCAUAAAGCAGGUCAAGAUACAUGUUGGCGUGAAAAUUUUUUCUGGAAAAAUGAGUGUUAAAGCGAGAAUUGAAGAAAAGUGCGAAAAUGUGAAAUUGGCUAAGGAAGGCAAAUGGCUCCUAGUUUUUUGGGGACUACCUGAUCCAUAAUGAAUUUGCAAUCAUUAAUAUCCACACCCGCCACAUUCACCCCUGCCACGGCCACGACCACUUUCAUCGCCAUAACCAUGGCCACUACUAUAGCCAUCACCACGGCCACCAUCACCGGCAGGUUGUCCACAGUUGGAAGCUAAAGUCCUUAUAACUAUUUGUUGAGUUGUGUCCCACAUUGACUAAUAAAGGGGAGAUGCUUGGAUUUAUAAGGUGGUAAGUCACUCUACCUAAAAGGCUAGUCUUUUGGGUUGGAUACCUAAAAAUCUUAUGCUAAGUCCCCCCAACAAGUGGUAUAAGAGCUAGAUCCUAGUAGCCGGAAUGUGGUGGUGGAACAACUCAGGUGUGUUGGACGAAAGGACCGGAGUCUGGCGGUGGUUUUGUCCGAGGGGGGAUUGUUGAGUUGUGUCCCACAUUGGCUAGUAAAGGAGAGAUGCUUGGGUUUAUAAUGUGGUAAGUCACUCCACCUAAAAGGCUAGUCUUUUGAGUUGGAUACCUAUAAAUCUUAUGCUAAGUCCCCCAACAAGAUUCUUUGUUAAUUGGUGUUACGGCUACUAGUCCUGCAGUUGCUGGUUUGUUGCCUCCUAAUUUCUUGGGACUACCUGAUCCAUAAUGUUGUGAUUUGAAAGAAAAUAAAACAGAGAAGCGUUGAACUUAAAAAAAAAAGGGUAGAAGCGAGCAUAUAUAAAGAGCAAAACCAAUUAACCAGGAGCAAGAACAACAAGCACAAAAUUCAAGCAAUCAAAUGUAGAAACCGGAGUCAGGUUGAACUGCAAAGACAAUGGACUAAUUGCAUGAGGUAUGCAAUGUGGAGCAGGUAGUUGAGGACUAGGAUGGCAAAAUUUCAAAAUACAGACUGCAAAAAGCAGGUCAAGAUACCUACUGGCGUAACUUGUUGGCGUGAACAAUUUCCUUGAAAAAUGGGUAUUAAAGUGAGAAUUGAAGAAAAGCCCGAAAAUGUGAAAUUGGUUUAAGGAAGACAAUUAUCUCCUAGUUCUUGGGACUACUUAAUCUAUAAUCAAUUUGCAAUCAUCCAUGUCCACACUUGCCACAUCUACCCAUGCCACCCCCACGACCACUUCCAUCGCCAUAACCACGGCCGCUACCAUUGCCACUGCCACGGCCACGGCCAUCGGCAAGUUAUUUAUGUAAUUACAAAGAGUGUUUAUAGAAAGAGUUAAUUAUGUCUAUUUUUUAAUCGGCCGGGUUAUUACAAAUGGGGUGUGUCCAGUAUUUUACUGGGGUGUUAGAAGCAGUCACUCCCUCCAAUUUAAUUUUCGUUUUCAAAAGUCAAUUCUUUACGCGAGUCUUUCUAUAGAAAUUGUAAGUUUAUUUUUUUGUUUAUUUUUUUCCUUUUGUGAAACAUAGGACAAUACACAUGAUGGCGUGCGCUUAUCUACGACCUCCCUUGACAUAACUUCCUACCAGUGGCUGUAAAUUAAUAUAUAAAUAUAAUGAAAAAAUCCCACUAUGGCACUAUAUUUGCCUAUUUAAAGGGGAUAAGCAAACUGCCCAGCAUCACAAACUCACUUACUGCUUUUUAUUGAGAGAAAAAGUUGAGAAAGAGAAUAGCAAAAGCAACAACAAUGGUGGUAAAGGUGUACGGCCCAGCUUAUGCUUCUCCUAAACGAGUGAUUGUUUGCUUGAUUGAGAAGCAGAUCGAAUUUGAAACUGCUCCCGUUGAUCUCAUCAAAGGAGAGAAUAGAAAUCCUGAGUACCUCAAAUUGCAGGUUCAUUAAUUUAAUCAGCAAUUUUUUUUUUUAUAAAUAUAUUAUGCAUGUAUGCAUUAUCUAAUCACUUCAUUCAUUAAUUGACGAUCGUGUGUCUCGAUGCUUCGAUUAAUUAAUUACUCUUUUGUUUUCAAUUCUGACAAAAUUAUAUAUACAGCCUUUCGGUGCUCUGCCUGUCAUUCAAGAUGGAGAUUUUACGUUAUACGGUACUCCUUCCACUUUCAAAUUGAAAUGUAAAAUUUAAUUAAGAGUAAAUACUUUUAUGUCUUUAGAUUUAAGUUAAUUAAACAGAUAGUUUGUGAGAUUUUUUUCUAAAAUUAUCCAAAAUGGUAUUGAAAAUUUUGUUUUGGUUAAACUUUACUCGAUUAUUCUUUACUUCAAGUCGGUUGCAUCAAGGGUUGGCAAUGGGACGGGAUGGGAUGAGAUUUACCAAUUUCAGUCCCGUCCCGUAUAUGUACAUGAGAUGAAAAAAUGUUCCAGUCCCAUUCCUAUAUUUUUUUUGGGACAAAAAUAUGUUCAAAUCUCCUCCCCAAAGAGAUGAGAUCCUGCGGGAUCCCAUCCCAAUUGAAAAACUUUCCAUUCUUAAUCAGCAAUGAGGCGGGAUGAGACGAAAUUUGCCAAUUUCACUCCCGUCCCGCAUAUGUAAUUGGGAUAAAAAAAUGUCCCACUUCCGUCCCUAAAUUUUUUUAUGGGACAAAAAUAUGUCUCAAUCCCGUUCUAAAUGGGAUGGGAUCCCGCAGGAUCCCAUCCCAUCGGGAAAAAUUGCCAUCCCACUUGCAUGCCAAUUUUGUUUAUAUUUUAAAUUAUUAUGUCAGAAAAAUUCUAUUCUAUUAUUGACAAAUCAUAUCCAUAUAUAGUUAUGAAAAGUAACUGCACAAACAUUUUGGAUAACUUCUUAAGAUAAAAGAGGUAACAGAGUAAAUCAAGCAAACUCUAGAGAUUAAAAGGAAAAUUUAAGCUUUCAAAAUUACUAGUUUUGUAUUCUAGUUAUAAGUUUAACAUUUCAAGUUAAUGAUUCAUUUACAGAAUCUCGAGCUAUCAUAAGGUACUACGCCGAAAAGUACAGGUCUCAAGGAACCGAACUUCUGGGAAAAACAAUUGAAGAAAGAGGCCUUGUGGAGCAAUGGCUAGAGGUAGAGGCACACAACUAUCACCCACCAAUUUACGAGAUGACUGUGCAACUUUUAUUUGCCUCCAAGUUGGGACUUUCUGUUGAUGAAAAAUUGGUAAAGAAGAGUGAAGAAAAACUUGGAAAAGUUCUUGAUGUUUACGAGGGGAGGCUCUCAAAGAGCAAGUAUUUGGCAGGAGAUUUCUUCAGCCUGGCUGAUCUGAGUCACCUUCCAUUUACUCAAUACUUGGUUGGGCCGAUGGAGAAGGAGUACAUGAUUAGAGACAGAAAGCAUGUGAGUGCUUGGUGGGAUGAUAUUAGCAACCGGCCAUCCUGGAAGAAAGUCCUUGAGCUUUAUUAGCUACUUUGGCUGAGCUUGAUUUCAUGUAAUAAUAAUCUUGGGGCUUGUGUUUUUACUCCUGCUUCCUAAUUCGUUCAUGUGUUUGGCGAUAUGUAUCUUUCUUGUGUCUUUUUGGUUUUAAUAAAUAAAUGCUGGGGGCCUUGGAGGACAGAUUGCGUAGACCUUUCCAUGUUUUAAAAUAUUUAAAUUAAAGAUGGCACGACAUAUAUAGUAAAGUUCUUAUCCAAAUUAAUUUUACAAUGCGUAAACAUUCACAGUUAAAAUGAUAUCUUCAAAGCAUUUGCACUUAAGAAAACAGUUUUCUUUUCUUUUCUUUUUCAUUUCUUUUAGAGGCGAAAAGCUAUAGAGAAAGGUGAUAUGUCAUUGAAAAUGUGCAUUCCAAUUGCACGGGGCUGCCGAAGGUUGCUGUUAAUACUCGGGUUGACAGUGUACUUUUUUCUACUGGUCGUUCAUAAACACAAAAUUUUCAAUGGCUAUAUGCGUGAAAAAACCAAAAAAUUCCAUCAGAAAUGAAAUUGUCAUGAUUUUUCUCUGGUUGUUUAUUGAAAACGUAUAUAUUGUAGUUUAGUCUUCCUGAAAAUGAUCUGGAUAUGUCUUACAAAACAAUGCUGCUUUGCCUGGACUAAUGAACAGGACAAAUUUGCCCGCAUUUUUCUGGGAAAAGCCAAACACCAAGAUAUUUACCAAAGUUGCAUGAGAGUGUAACCUUGUAUAAAUGGGUAAAGGAAUCCCUCUCCAAACUUUAUAUAUGUAUACAAUAGCUGAUUGGAUUCUUAAUCACUUGUCUUACCAAUCAAACAAUUUAUCAUUUAAUCAAUAGCUAAUCACAUUUAAGAGGUUACUUAAAAAUUAAGUUAGUGAAAAUGUCUUAAUUAAAUUGCAUGUGCCAACGAUACUGCAUCAUCAUACUAGUAGUCAAUUACUUAUAACCACCAUGUAUAUCCAUGCAAGAUCCUCCAUUAAUAUUAAUUUCUUAAUGUGGAAGUUAUACAGAUAUGCAGCCACCAUGUACAUCCAUGCAUGAUCCUUCAUUAAUAUUAAUUUCUUAAUGUAAAAGUUAUACCGAUAUCCACACACAUACUUAAUUACCAAUUUAAGAUUUCUCACCUAACAAAAAAAGUAUCAUUAUGUUUUUGUAUUAUAUUAUUGGGUCCGAUUAUCAAAUUUCGCGGUUUAAGCGCCAUCAAAUGACUAAAAAUUAAAUAAAAUUAAAUAAAACCUGACUAUUUGAUAUGUUUAAACUAUAGAUGCCUAUAAUUUUUUAACCAUAAUCUGCAAAUAUUUUUGGUCAUAUAUAUCAAUCAACUAUUAUGUAUACUCUAAAAAUUAAUAUUUAUAUUGAGUAUUUUUAUGAAAUCUCACGAUCACAGAAUUUAUGGUAACCAAAUUACGCAUCUCUCCAUCCUAAUUAUAUAACGUUAGGUGUACCGACAACAACUCAUAGGAUAGAAAAUUAAUGAUAAUAUAGCGAUGAGUAACCACUUGAUAACGUGUUAGAUUUAUUCAAAGAAUAUAUAUAUAUAUAUAUAUAUAUAUAUACACAUACAUACAUAUAUAAGAAUUAAGAGCAUAGAUGGAUCACGCGUGGCUACAACUGAAUAAGGUUAGGUAAUGCUUCGUAAUUUGGAAACAAUUAUAGCUGUACUACAAAGUUAUUAUUAUUAUUAUUAUUAUUAUUAUUAUUAUUUUGGCAAAUGCUAAGUAACUUAUGGGCUCCCUAUUAUUUUUCAAAUGAUAGGUUUAAAACGAUAUUGUUACUUUUUUUUUUUUUUGGUUUAAACCAUCCGAUUUCCGGCGACCGCAUUGGGCCCCGACUAAUUCGGAUUCGGGGUGUAGUCACAGUUAAGGCUCUUUACCCCUCCCAAAUGGUGUGUUUAGUGAGGAUCGAACCCGAGAGCUCUUCCCACUUACCCAGCCUGCGCCGCCAACUGAGCCACAACCGUUUGGUAAACGAUAUUGUUACUUUAGGAUCACUUCAUCGUAAUGUUCAUAUCACAAGUAAGCGUCAAGAAAUGAUUUUAAGGUUAUUAUCUUAUGGCUUUAGAAGUUUUCUCUUAUGGCUUUGGAAGUUUUCUCAUAAUAAUUAUUGGAUUCACCAUGCACUACAUAAGCUUCCAAAAGUCUAGCAACGAAUUCAGUCAACUCAAUGAAAAAACAAUUUGACCACACAAAAUUAAUUAUUGCUAAUCAUUGUUUUUCAGUUAAUUCUAUUCAUUUUUUAAAAAUUAAUUUUAUUUAAAAAAAGAACACUUACUCCCCUACGAUUUGAAAAAAUAGUCAUAUAAACUCCAUGUUUUCAAUAAAGGGACGCCCUUUGACUCUAUUAAUUCAAAAAAAUUAAUUCCAAUAUUUUAUAAUAAAUAGAAGAAUGAUAUUAAAAUAAAUGUAACAAUGUAUACAUUUUUAAAUAAUUUUAAUAUUUAAAAAAUAUUGUAAUACUUUACAAUCUUAUAUUAUAUUAAACUAAAUUUUAUAAUAAAUAGAAAUACAAUUUUAAAACAAAAUAUAUAAAAAACUUAAAUUAUUAUUAUUAUAUAAAAUAAUUUUAAUAUAAUUAAUACAUGAGAUUUAUUUUAUUAAUUGUAAAAUCUAUUUAACCCAAUGAUUUAUUGAAAUUUUUUAUAAUAAAUAUAAAUAUAUUAUUAAAAUAAAUAAAUAAUUUACAUUUUAAAAAUAUUUUAUAUAUUAAAAAAUCUAAUUUUAUUAACUUACUGGCUAGACAAAUUAAACAUUUUAAGUUAUAUUUUUAUCUGUUAAAAAAUUUUGAAUUCAAUUUUUUAGUUAUUAUCUACUAGGAGUAUUAUAGUAAAAAAGAGAUGUUAAUAUCCCUUAUUGAAAAUUUGGAGUCCACAUACCCAUUUCCCUAAAUCUUGGUGGUGUAUGUAUCUUUUUCUAGAAUAUUAAAAUACAAUUUAAAAUAAAUAUUAAAUUUUCUUUUCUCUCUCGUAUACUCUCUCUCGGGCAUCAUCCUUCAUCGCUGCUCUAUCCACCACCACCGCCACCACACAUCUUUAUACAAUAGAUCUAUCACCACCUACAACACAUGAUGUGUUUUGUCGGGUUUUGUAAAAUUUCGUGAAUAAGAGAUUCGUUUAAUCGCUCCUUAGAGCAUAGAUUUUGAUUUUUAUUUGUGAUAAUCCAAUAAUUCAACAAUUUAAAUUUAAAAUUUGUUUUAAAAUUAUGAAUCAAUUCAACAAAAUGAGAGUCAGGGAGAGAGGAUAAGUUCACGAGCUCCGGAGAGGCAAAAGAAUAAAAAUUGACUUUAAAGCUCAUUUUGGUUUGGAGCCCGCUUUACGUCUUUGGGUCCAGGAGGAAUCUAUUCAGGGCUGGCAACCUAAAAGGCCAAAAAUGGGAAACAAAGAAAAUGAAAUUGGAUUUUUUAGAUCAGUAAGCCUUUUGGUACCCUAAAAAACUCCUUAUAGAAUUCGUCUUUAAUUAAAAUUACUUAAAUAACAUAACAAAUAUUAAUUCAUUUCCUGUUUUGAAUGGAAAUUCAAUUAAACACUUACAUAAUUAUUAUUUUAACAAUUUUUUAUACCUACCCCAUUUUAUAGUUUAUAUUUAUAUUUUAAAUUUUAAUAAAAAUAUUUUUUUGAGAGAAGUAUAAAAGUUUAGAGUUAUGAAAAUAGAAAUUUUAUAAUAAGAAGAAAAAUUCAAGAUAAAUUUAAUAUUUAGGUUUAUAUGCAAUUUAAAAAGAAGAAUUUUUUUUGGGUAAAGUUUUAUAGAAAGAUGGGUUGAUUUUUACAUAUCAAAUUGUAUUUUAUCAAUUUAACUGAGGACACUUUAAGAAAUAAAUUUAAAAGAGGUGUUAUAAAGAUUUUAAAAAGAGUGUUAAAAGCUCUACUCUUUCUAGAUCAUUGCCAAGGCCAAAAAAAUAACGUUAGUAACUCCUAUUCAUUUUGUAUAUUUAAUUAUUUAUUAGUAUUGGGUCUGGAUUUUUGAAAAUUUUUCGAGGAUUGGAUUGAGUUUUCAAAUUGCCCUAACCCAACUCAAUCUUGAUUUUAGAGAAAACUUGAAUACCAAACUGCUAUGCCAGUUGUGCGAUAAGGUGGAUCCAAAAUGAAUUCUCUAGUUCUUUCUCACCAAUCUACUAUAUUUGGGCAGUGAGAUGAGAGUUAAAAUUCUCUUUUGCUACUUUUCUAAUACACAGAUUCACUAUAUCAAAAUUUUGGCUAUGAGAAUUGAGAAAUGAGUGGAUGCUUUCUCAUCGACAGUGAUAAAUCUUGUUUUGGAUGUUUUCUCAUUUCGCUCGUGGCCUUCCAGCCGUCACAAGAACUCUCUCUCUCUCUCUCCCCCUUCCUCUCUCUUUUUCCUCAUGUGUUGUAUAUGCUUUCCUUUUAGUUUAUUUCCAGCGUGUGGUUUGAUUCAUUAAGUAUGUGUGUGGCAUAAAUUGUUUAAAGAUGUAGUGAGAAACAGUUGAAAAACUGGUGCUUUGGUAGUCACAUGAAUUGGAUGCUCUUCCCCUUUGAAAACAAGAUUUAUAAUUUACCAUGAAAAUUAUAUUUCAUGUUUGGGAUAAAUAAAAUGAGUUAUGAUACUUUAUUUUAUCGAAUUUAAAUUUAGUGUUGAGCUAAAUUUUAUCUUGAUCUUUAAGAUUUAAAUUUGUUCUUACUUAACUUAGAUUAACUCAAUGACUUUGAAGCUGUAUUUUUUAUCAUUGUAAUCUAUAGUUGAAUAUUUUGAGUUUGGUGAUGUUUCAUUGUUUGCUCUUUUAUUUGUUCAUCUUUUCCAACUUCCUCUGACCCAAAUUAGUAAUCUAAUCCGAAUUAUUAAUCCAAAUCCUAUUGCAACCCGCACGGUAUUGCAACCUGAAGUUAACAUCUCAAAACUGAAACAAAUUAUGAUCCCGAACUGAAUCGAAUAGAAUUUGAAACCAAAUCAAACCAAAAUAAUUUUUCAACCCGUGUGAGUUGAAUUCUUAAACCCGAAUGGGUUGCAAAAUGAACCGAAAAUUGGAAAAAUUGAACAAUCUCUAACUUUUAAUGCUAGCUUAAUCGAGUUAAUUCCAAUUUCACUUAAAUUGGAUAAAUGUAUAGGCUAUGUUUUUUGGCUAAUCCAAUUUACAUUGAUCCCUUGUUCAGUUGUCAUUUUGGUCUGUGAUAUGAUUUUCUUAAUUUUCUUUUAGAUAUAAACAAUCGUGUAAUAUGUUUGAAAUUUAAAUGGGGAUUGGGUACCACUUUUAAUUUCUUGCUCAAUUCGGGGAUUAUUGGGACAUCUCCUAACUAUCUCCAAUUAAAAUAAUUUUUGGGUAUGGUUUGAGUUUGGAGAUUGCUUCCAAGUCGGGUUCAGGCACCAGGAUCAUCACCAAACCCGCCCCAUUGCUAUCCCUAUUGCUAGAUUAGCAAGCAUGAGCUCGAAUUUCUUGGUGUGAAAAAUUUAGGCUAAUCUACAAAUAAGUUCAGAUGGCUGAGCUUGGAUUACGUUUUGUUCCUUAUUUAUAUUUAUCAGCUCCAUAUGGUUGUUAGCUGUAGUUUUUCGGAUUCUAUCCUUCAGAAUAUUGUUGAAUUAAUUCUUUGUUUUUACAUAGACUGAUAAAAAAAGACACCUCUUGCGCUUGUUUUCGUCUUAUUAAUCUCAGUCUCUCACUUGCUCUACGCUCCACUAACUUUCACCAAAUGGUCACUGAUCAAUUCAUGCAUCUAGACAUGUUUUCCUAAUAGCUUAUAUCUCAAUUAUUAUUCUUUCUGACAUGUUGAGAUUUUAGGAAUCAUGAGUGAGAGAAAAUAGCUUAUGAGUUAACAAAGCUUUCAGUUUUAUGUACUAUUGCUAAGAGGCUAAACAGCUACUGUUUUCAAAUCCGUUAUAGGGAAGCAUUUUACAGUAGAUUCUUCAUUGACUGGUUUCAAGGAACUAAUUAGUGAAAACUAAAAGAUAGUUUGGUUUCAGUGCAACCAAAAACAUACUGGCAGUACAAUUUUCCCAAUGUUAGAACUCAUUUUAGUCAGAAAAUUUGAAUUUAGUAACAUUGUAAUUGAGGUCUUAUGAUAGUAACAUUAGUUGUAUAUGAGCAUUCACUCUAGUUGCUGUGGAUUCUAAUGUUUAUCAUCGCAUCUCUCAUGCAUCGAGAAAUUAAUUACUCAAGAGUCAAGUCAUCUUUCCAGCUUAUGUUUGUCUUCCACAAUCAACUCCAAAGCUUAAGCAAAUUUUAUGAGUAUUCACCAGUUCGUAUUGGAUUCUAAUGUUUAUUAUUGCAUGUCUCAUUCACCGAGUAAUUUAUUAAAGUCAUCUCCCUGGUUUAUGUUUGUCUUUCACAAUCAAUUCCAAAGCUUAAGCAAUUUUUUUUUGGACAACAAGUCAACCACACUAUAUAUAUAUAUUUUUUGGUGGAUCACUUCUUUUUUUGUAGCACGGCCUACAUCAAUAUUCUUUCAUAUUUGAUACUGCUUUGCUUUUUACAGCUUGAAAGUCAAGAAUAUGGCACUGGUAGCGAGGAUGAUUAUGAUGGCGGUACAGUGAAGAAGAUGAAUCUCGUGCGGGUAAGCUCAAGCCUGUCCUUGAUGACCAUGUAACAGAUGAAUUGGAAAUUGAUAACGACUAUAAAGUUCCAGCACCUGAUGUUAUUCGUCGUUGUGUGGAAUAUGCUGAAAAGUAUGAAAAUGAAAAGGAAGAUGAAGAGGUAGUUAUUAUGCAGGAAAGUAGUGAUGAGUCAGAAAAGUGGGAUUGUUAGACUAUCGUUUCUACGUACUCAAACUUUGAUAACCAUCCAGCUAAAAUUGUAGCUCCGGGGUUAGCAGGAAAGAAAAAGUUGGCUGAAACCAUCUCUGGAGCCUUGAGUGCUCCCAGACAUGUCAUAUUCCUUCAAGGAAAGGAGAAGCUGCCUCUGGACUUUCUGCCUCUUAGUCGAAAAGCUGCUACGGAAAAAAGUGAAGUCUGCGGGUGCUCCAAAAACUGAACAGCAGAAGAGGAAGCAGCAUGGCCAAGAAUCGAAAGAAGAGAAGAGAGAACGGAAGGUAUUUGUUUGUUUCUCCAGAUUUCUCUGUAUAUUUUUGUGCAUUUGCCACAUAUCAGCAUGUGUUAUUUUUUGUGAACAGUCUUCUUGCUUGUUUCCUGAUGCUUGUAACAUUUCAAAUAUUGUCUUAGGUUUAUGCUGUUUAUCUAUUUACGUUUAGAUGUGAUUUGAUAAGGACAUAUACUGCAUGCAAGCUGCAGUGAAAAAGGGACGACGUGAAGCUUGGCGAGCUAAAAAAGAAAUUAAGGAACUGUAUAGGUGUAAAGCGCAGCGUACUCAAAAGGUUGCCACUAUUUCUUGCCCGUCUUCUAUCCGUCUAAUGUAAGUAUUUUGAUCAUCAAAUGUUCUUUCAAUUGAAAUUGCAUCAUGAGUAGGCAAUUUGGAUGAAUAUUCUUUUGGAUUAUUUAAUAUCAAACGGUAUUGUGUUUGCGAAGCUUAAUUGAACAAUGCUCUGAUAAUCAAUUGAUUAGAAAAUUGAUUGCUCAUUUAUUUUGAAAUAGGUGAAACUUGACAUCAGAUUAUCGCUUAAGGCAGUGUGAUCAUGCAGCAGGUUUUUGUUUUCCAUUUUUUGACUUUUGAGGUUGUUGCUGAUCCCGAAACAACUUGAUCACAACUACAAUCUUGAUGAGCUGAGGCACCAUAUGUCUACCCAUCCUUUAUUGCCUUCCAAUAUGGGCUGGGAGCAGGAAAUUGAUCUCGCUUGUUUUAGUUUAAUAUAUAAUGUUUUAUAAUUGGUAUGCCUGUCUUAUUUCAUAAUCAUAAAAUAUGUUCUCACCUUUCUGUGAGACCUCUUGUUAUUUAAAAAAAAAAUAUAUAUGUAGGGCCCAAAAAUGAAUAACUAGAAUUGCAUAUUGCUGCAGCCAGUAGUAGAACACUUUUGUCACGUCUUUUUUCUUUUUCUUUUUUAUAUUACCGUACACACUUUGGAUCUUACAAUUUGUUUAUUCGUUGUUUCUUUGCAAUGAGAUAAUGAUUUUUUUUUAUCUCAUGUUCUUGUCUUGAUAUAUCUAUCUGUCUAUAUUUUUCAAUGUGGAGCAUAUGGGAUUUACUCCAAGAAGGGGUGAGUAGACAUUUUCCUCGUAAUGCUGUUUAUAGUGUAGAAUUUACCUUGAUAAUAGAAUAGGCUGACUCGAAUCCCAGAUGAAACCUCUGUUUUUUUUUUCUUGUUUGGAUGGUACCCAAUACAAUUUAUUAAAGAAAAAUUAUGGGGAAAAUAUUUUUACAAGCAAUGUGACAGUGUGAUAGUAUAAACCAUUAACAAUAUAUUUUAGGAUUGCAGUUACUAGAAUACAUCACUAAUUCAUACAAACCUCUUUAUAUCAUACAAGUACAUACCGGGCAAACUCGGAAAUAUAGUUGUAAGAAAUUUGCUGGUUGGAUUAUGAGAAGAAAGAAUGCCGCAUGAUUGUACUAAGGAAAUGAAGCAGUGCUGGGGAAAGGGAAAUCUGAAUGAAAUGAACUGGGAGGAGAAGUGCGACAUGAUUUUUCCGCAUGAGGAACUGGGGCAGAGUAGCCUCCUCCAGAUCUUGGUGUUGGGUUCCAGGUUCCAUAAUCUCCAAAGCUUGGUUCGAUCUGGUAGUGCUUCUCGCUUCCCUCGUUCCAGUCCUCAAGUGGAUGUAAGAGAGGAGAUGAUGUAGGUGAUGAUGGCAGCAGUGGUGAAGAUGAUGAUGAUGAUUCUGUAGCUAUCACAGCUAUCAAUGUCAAUAUAACUAGCAUGAACACACAUAUGAUGUGCCCAACCGACCUCUCACUUAAACUUGACAUGCUUAUUUUGCGCGUCUUGUGCAUUCUAAUUGAAAGCUUUUUCACUGUGUCUAAUGUUUUGUUCAUCAACGAACCCUGUUACUUAAUUUUAAUUUUAGUUGAUUUAUGCUAAUUUGAAUACAACAGCUGUUGUCUUAGUAGGAACCAGUGUUUGAUUAAAUUGAUCCUUCUUUGCUCACGAAAUGGAUGAUGCUUCAUGAGUUUGUCAUGUGUUUUUCACAAAAAAACAAACAUCAAUUUCGGCAUCUUGGCUUCAUUUUCAAUUGCCAUUUUCCGUUUCAUUGUUAAACACGAGCAAUCGUUCCUUUGUACAGCAAUUCGAAGAAGUGUACUAGUUGGGAAUUCCGUAUUUUAUUUGGAAAAUGCAAAUGAAAAUUAAAUAGUAAGCUACCGUAAAUCAAAACACAACUCUUACAUCAUCUUAGUUUUUAAAACACCAAAGAGAAUAAUGGUUGCUUUUAUGUGCUAAUUCAUAUGGUAUUUUGAAAAUUCCAUUUAAUUCCCAGAUUUUAUCUUAUAAUAAAAUUCUCAACAAUAAAAAAACAAGUAGGUUUUUGGUGGAUAUUGGAUAAAAGUCCAUGAAUCAGUAAAAGUAUCCAAUUAAUAACCUUUAACAUAAAAGAGCUUAUCCAAGGUGACUGACAAGUUGUUGUCAAUCGUGUUUAUCAUAAAACAAACAUUGCAGCUAAUUUUCUUAUUAUUUAUGCUCUUACUCUUCCUAUCGGGAUCCAUGUUUUUAACUUUGCACCUAUAGAUCUUGAUUUUUGGUUGUAAUUUGAUAGAUUUAGAAUUGCGCUCUCUCGUUUUGUUAGGCUUUGACUUUUAUUAGAUUUUUCACUGUUGAAAAAUCUUAUAAAAAUAAGUAAUUUAGAAAUUUUCAUUACUGGGAACACAUCGCUAGCCUAAGGCGAGCUUCGCUAUCCUCCCGAAGCUGGUAUUUUCCUCGUUAAAACAAAAAAUCCUGUAGCAAAUUAAGCAAAUGGUUGUAAUUCAGGAAGAGGGUGUAAUAGUCCUUCUAAAAUUUUACUUUGACAUUCCUUCCCAAUCUUUGGGUUUUGGAGUCCAUGAUUAUGACAGCUGGGGAAAUUUACGAAAAUAACCAUAAAAUUUUUACUAUUUUUCGAAUUAACCCUCUCAACUUUUUUCUAUCAACAUUAGCCAAACACACGCUUUUCUCCCCAAAUUACCCUUCUUUACAAAUGAAAAGAAACUUGGUGCGACAGGCCCAAGUCUUGGUGCGACAGGCACCUGUCGCACUAAGCUUUGGUGCGACAGGCACCUGUCGCACCAAGCUUUGGUGCGACAGGCACCUGUCGCACCAAGCUUUGGUGCGACAUGCAACCUGUCGCACCAUGCCUUGGUGCGACAGGCACCUGUCGCACCAAGCUUCGUGCGACAGGUUGCCUUCUUCUACCUCAGUAUUUGUUUGUUUUCGCCAGUCCUUUCGUCUUUGUUCGUCUCUUCUUAUUCGUAUGUAAUAUCUUCUUCUACCUCAGAUCGAAUCUCAUCCGACAACCCAAACAACAAAACAAAAUCAGCUUUUUAAUUCUCUAAAAUCCAAUUUCGGAAUUCAAAUUCCCCGGGAUUUUCCAUCAAAAGCCACGUUGCGAAAUGCUAGGCGGGCUGUACGGAUACCUACCUCCACCCUCCGAUGAGGACAAACCCACCAACACGACCACCACUGUCUGGUCAAUUUUCGCGCCACCACAAACCAUCCUCAAGCCCCAAUCCAAACCCAAAACCACCCAAAAUUCUCUCCCGACUAGACCCCAUUCCUCACCUGCAAUCGCACCUUCCCCCGACGACGUGGUAGCGCUGCCGCAACCGGCAUUGGUCGACGUGACUUCGACCGUAAUCGAGGAGCACGACCCCGCUAGACCGAACGAUUACGAGGAUUAUAGGAGAGAGAAGAAGAAGAAAGAGGUGGAUGUUGAAAUUAAUAGAGAACUGGAGAGAAGAAGGCAAGAGGAAGAGGAAAGGGAGAUGAGAGAGAAGGGUAAUUUGGUCUCAACGGCUCUUUUAUGGCUAAUGUUGAUAGAAAUUUGUUUGAGGGGUUAAGAUGAAAAAAACUAAAAUUUUUAUGGUUAUUAGUGUAAAUUUCCCCAGCUGAAAAGGGUCGUUUACUCGUUUACUCUUUGGACAUAAAUAGAUGAUUUGUAGGCCUUUAACUCAAUCAUCAGGCCUUCGGCCUUCAGAGGAUGCAAUUCGGCACAAUUCUCUUAGGGUGCGUUUGGUAUACGUAUUGUAUUAUAUUAUAUUGUAUUAUUUUAAUAUUAGUGUAUUAUAUUAUAUUAUAUUGUAUUAGUAUUGUAUUAUAAUAAUAUUAUACAAUGUUUGGUACUACACUGUACUGUAAUAAUUUUUUUGAUUAAUUUGAAUUAAAUAUUAUAUUAUAUUAAUAUUAAUAUUAUUAUUAAUUUUAAAUUAAUAUUAUUCAUAUUUAAAUAUUUAUUAUUAGUCAUAAUAAAUUAUAAAUUUAUUAAUAAAUUAAAAUGUAAAAAUAAAAAUAUAAUAUAAUAUUAUUGAACAAUAAAUCAUUUAUUUAUAUUAAUAAUUAUAAUGUAAAAAAAUAAAAAUAUUAAAUUAAAAAAUAAUGUUUAUUAUUAUUAUUAUUAUUAUUAUAAAAUUAAAGUAAAAGCAAAAGUUAGCAAAAGUAAAUGGAAAGUUGGAAAUGAAAAGGUCAAAAAAAAAAAAAAGGAAAGAGCAAGCGGUAGUUUGCCGCAUUAGCUAAACCUGCAUUAGAUUGGCCCAUUAUGCAGUGUUUCUGUAGCUUUUAACUUACUAAACAUAGGUUUGUAUAAAGCUAAUGCAAUGAGGAGUUAUAAUACAGCAACCAAAUAUGCCUUUAUUACAUAGCCCAGCCCACAUCCAUCUGUCAUUUUAGGAAGCUUGUGUUGUUAUAUGUCAUGUUAUGUACUUAGUAGCUUAGCUAAUGGAUCCAUAUCAGUGAAAAGAAAACUAACGGACCAAAUGAGGUUUAGAUAUGAAGCACUGCUAAAAUAACAAGUUCAUUGAGAGUCGGCAUUUGAGAUUGACAAAAGUUGAGCAUAAAUUAAAUUUGAAACUUGAGAGUUUAUCUCAAGUAGAAAGCUUGAAAUUUAAUAUUAAAUUAAAGAUUAUAAAGACCACGCAAACAAAAUUCUAAUGCCAAUACUAAUUUUAACAUAAUUUCAAAGCUUGACGUUGACGCAAUUCUCCGUAUAUGUAAAAGAUUUGUAAGCAGAAGACAAAAAAACAUAAACACAAAUUCAUUUGUUGGCAAAACACCAAAUGUAAACACUGCAAUUAUGGUCACUACCAUACAUAUUAUACUUAGAAUCACGGCAAGGGAUUGAUCUUCCUCUUCUUUUAAAAACAUCUCUUGCAAAUUCAUAUCUACCUAGAUAAUAUUUUGAAUUUGGUUAUUGAAAAUCGAUCACAACCCACCCUUAUUCAUUUCCCUAAAUGGCCAAAAGAAAUCUGAAAACCCUAAAAGCCAUCAGCCGCUACAGUUUGUUACCACUAACAGCCCAUCAGCCCCCAGCAUUCAUCGUCACCCACCAACACUCAGCCGCGCCAGUCGGUAAUUUAAUGCUAUUAUGAUUCUGUACGAAAUGAGAGUAAAAAUUAGGUAUUGCAUGAAUGAAUUUUAGAAGAUGAAUUCUGAGUUGAAUUUCGGUGUGUGGAUUUUAGAUUGUUGCAUCGAGAUUGCUUUCUGGUAUUAUCUUGUAAAUCAUUGCGCUGUUCUAUUGUAGUUUUGAAAAUGAGAUGGUCCCAGCAGGUUUAAUGUCCAUUUUCUCACUUAUCAUGAUGGUCAAUUUUUAAAUGGCAAAGGCAAAAGAAUUGGAAUAGAUAUAUAGAAAAAAAAAAAAAAAAUCAAAGGACUAGAGGUCAUGCAGAGAAAACAAAACCAACAGAAUGAAAAGACGCAGGGAAAGCAAAAGACAAAAAGCAUAUACAGCCACGUGAAAGAAAAGAAACGAGAGACGUGCACAGAGAAUUUUGUCUCAUUUUGUCCUUACGUGGAAUUACUGAAAAACAUAAAUGGGUUUCACGUUUUAUUUGCACCACACUUUUACAAUCAGUGUUUAAUUUUUUAAACCGUUCAACCUGUAAUUUAUUUAACUGAAACUAUAUAUGACAACGAUUAUCCCUUUUCCAAUAAUGGUAAUAUUUUUUUCUUUUAACUCACUCACUGCUACUUUUAUAAGAAUGUUUUAACAUGUUUAAAAAAAAAAAAGAUAAAAUAGCAAUAGAAAGAUGAUGGCAAUGCAAAAAUCUUGAUUGGAAUUGGUCAAGGAUUGGUACAAGCCAGUUGUUUAAUCCCCAUCCUCUUCAUCUCCUUCUCCACCAGUUGUCUUCUUUACAGCGGCCUUUAGGUUCUUUCGCUUCAAUCUUUCACUUCAUUAUGUUAUGCUGGAUUAACAUAGAGAAGCAAGUAUAGUUAUAAAAUAUGUGAUGAUUCAUAACUCAUUUGCAAUGAGCUGCAGGGUUUCCUUUCUUCUUCAUCUCUUCAAGGUUAUUCUAAAAUAAGAAACAAACAAUUUAAUUAAGUUAAAAAAAAAAAUCGAGGGUUCAUAAUUUGAGAUGAGGAAUUUCUAAAGAAAUGAAUGAUAAUAAGGAUAAAUUGGGGAUUAUAUUGGUAUGUUGAGAGCGAAAAAUUAUUUUAAACUUAUUAAUGCAUUUGCUGAGAAAUAGGGGCUAAUUAAUGAGAUAAAUUAAGAGAGUUACAUAUCACCAUUGGUUUACUUAUCUCUAUCAAUAAAUCAUGAUUAGGAUUUAAUACUGAACUAAAAUUUUGUUUGAGCACCUAAUCAAUAGUGAGGAUUCAUUAUUUUAUUUAUUAUUUAAUUUUUCUUUCUUAACAAUCACUAAUUUAUUCAGUACUCGACAAAAACUUAAAAUUCUGGUCCAUCAGCAUUAAAUUUAUAAAUCACAUCACCAAUCACUGAUUGGAAAUUAAUAUAUAAAUAUUAAGAAAAACUCCACAAUGGCACUAUAUAUUAAACGGAUACGCAACUCCUAUGAACCGUGCACACACUCACUGACUUUUAGUGAGAAAUAAUUAAGAGAUUAGCGUAAGCAACAACAAUGGUGGUAAAGGUGUACGGUCCAGCUUAUGCUUCUCCAAAACGAGUGAUUGUAUGCUUGAUUGAGAAGCAAAUUGAAUUUGAAACUGUUCCUGUUGAUCUUGUCAAAGGAGAGAAUAAAAAUCCUGAGUACCUCAAAUUACAGGUUCAUAUAUAAAUUCAAUUAAUUAAGCAUCAUUUUUUUUAUAUAUAUAUAAAAAUUAUUUAACUUCUAUAUUGAAGAUCGUGUGUCUUGAUUUGCUUUGAUUAAUUAAUUAAUUAACUCUUUUGCUUUCAAUUUUGACAAAAUAAUAUGUGCAGCCUUUUGGAUCCCUUCCAGUUAUUCAAGAUGGAGAUUUUACUCUAUACGGUACACCUUUCGUUUUCACAUAUACUGAAAUGUGAAAUUUGAGUAAGAGCAGAAUAACUUUUAGGUUUGAGUUAAUUGACCAGAUAGUUGGGUCUUGGUAUAUCUGUUUUCUUUGCAAUUCAUUUAGUUAUUUUUUAGUUCUUAUUUACUGCAUAUCAAUUUUAUUGAUGUUUAAAUUAUAUCAGAAAAAUUAAUUAUUGAAAAAGUUAGAUGGAUCAACUAUGAAAAUAAUUGCACAAAUAUCUUGGAAAAACUCUAGAGACUUGAAGGAGAUGUAUUCUUUUAAUUAACUAAUUACGAACUUAAACAUGGCACAGGUAACUUUCAACUUCAGAAGUUUUAUAUUGUAGUUAUAAGUUUAACGUUUCAGGUAUUGAUUCAUUUGCAGAAUCGCGAGCUAUCAUAAGGUAUUAUGCCGAGAAGUACAAGUCUCAAGGAACAACCGAUCUUCUGGGAAGAACAGUUGAAGAAAGAGGCCUGGUGGAACAAUGGCUGGAAGUAGAGGCACACAACUUUCACCCACCAAUUUACCAGAUGACCACGCAAAUUUUAUUUUUCGCGAAGAGGGGACUUCCUGCCGAUGAGAAUUUGAUAAAGGAGAGCGAGGAAAAGCUUGGAAAAGUUCUCGACGUUUACGAGGAGAGGCUGUCGAAGAGCAAGUAUUUGGCCGGGGAUUUCUUCAGCCUGGCUGAUCUGAGCCACCUUCCAUUUACUCAAUACUUGGUUGGGCCGAUGGAGAAGGAGUAUAUGAUUAGAGACAGGAAGCAUGUGAGUGCCUGGUGGGAUGAUAUUAGCAACAGGCUAUCCUGGAAGAAAGUCCUUGAGCUUUAUUAGCUACUUA